rnacentral:rRNA from 1 species
UACGAAGGGGGCUAGCGUUGCUCGGAAUUACUGGGCGUAAAGCGCACGUAGGCGGCUUGUUAAGUCAGGGGUGAAAUCCUGGAGCUCAACUCCAGAACUGCCUUUGAUACUGGCGAGCUUGAGUUCGGGAGAGGUGAGUGGAACUGCGAGUGUAGAGGUGAAAUUCGUAGAUAUUCGCAAGAACACCAGUGGCGAAGGCGGCUCACUGGCCCGAUACCGACGCUGAGGUGCGAAAGCGUGGGGAGCAAACAGG